GGAGAGGUGCUGGAGUGGUUGAUCAGGAUAGUCUCGAAAACUAUUGGGGGCGUAAGCCCCUCGUGGGUUCAAAUCCCACCCUCUCCGCCA
rnacentral:tRNA from 1 species